AUGCAUGUCUAAGUAUAAGCAAUUAUACCGCGAAACUGCGAAUGGCUCAUUAAAUCAGUUAUCGUUUAUUUGAUAGUACCUUACUACUUGGAUAACCGUGGUAAUUCUAGAGCUAAUACAUGCUAAAAAUCCCGACUUCGGAAGGGAUGUAUUUAUUAGAUUAAAAACCAAUGCCCUUCGGGGCUCUCUGGUGAUUCAUAAUAACUUCUCGAAUCGCACGGCCUUGCGCCGGCGAUGGUUCAUUCAAAUUUCUGCCCUAUCAACUUUCGACGGCUGGGUCUUGGCCAGCCAUGGUGACAACGGGUAACGGAGGGUUAGGGCUCGACCCCGGAGAAGGAGCCUGAGAAACGGCUACUACAUCCAAGGAAGGCAGCAGGCGCGCAAAUUACCCAAUCCCGACUCGGGGAGGUAGUGACAAUAAAUACUGAUACAGGGCUCUUUUGGGUCUUGUAAUUGGAAUGAGUACAAUUUAAAUCCCUUAACGAGGAACAAUUGGAGGGCAAGUCUGGUGCCAGCAGCCGCGGUAAUUCCAGCUCCAAUAGCGUAUAUUAAAGUUGUUGCAGUUAAAAAGCUCGUAGUUGAACCUUGGGCCUGGCUGGCCGGUCCGCCUCACCGCGUGCACUGGUCCGGCCGGGCCUUUCCCUCUGGGGAACCGCAUGCCCUUCACUGGGUGUGUCGGGGAACCAGGACUUUUACUUUGAACAAAUUAGAUCGCUUAAAGAAGGCCUAUGCUCGAAUACAUUAGCAUGGAAUAAUAGAAUAGGACGUGUGGUUCUAUUUUGUUGGUUUCUAGGACCGCCGUAAUGAUUAAUAGGGACAGUCGGGGGCAUCAGUAUUCAAUUGUCAGAGGUGAAAUUCUUGGAUUUAUUGAAGACUAACUACUGCGAAAGCAUUUGCCAAGGAUGUUUUCAUUAAUCAGGAACGAAAGUUAGGGGAUCGAAGACGAUCAGAUACCGUCGUAGUCUUAACCAUAAACUAUGCCGACUAGGGAUCGGACGAUGUUAUAUUUUGACUCGUUCGGCACCUUACACGAAAGUAAAGUUUCUGGGUUCUGGGGGGAGUAUGGUCGCAAGGCUGAAACYUAAAGAAAUUGACNGAAGGGCACCACCACGGGUGGAGCCCUG
rnacentral:rRNA from 1 species